rnacentral:lncRNA from 1 species
GAGGUCUUUGACAUAACCUAAAACUGGGCCUUAUCAUAUAGGCAUCUCUAGCCCAAAAAGGACCAGAUAACACCCCGUUAACCCAACCUAACCAUCAUAUCAAUUCACAAGUGUCGGAUAAACUCCCAAUAAAUAAUAAGAUAGCAGAAACAAAACUAACAAUCAUAACAUACGGAUGUAUAAUCAUUCCAUUCACGCCAACAUACAACAUCCAAACUACCCAAGUCCACA